rnacentral:lncRNA from 1 species
CAUGCCACCCCCGUUUUAGGAGAACUUGUAUUUGGUUUGAGAAGGAAUUGGAAUCAUGGCGUUAUCCUACCUUCACCAUUUACCCCUGAUAAAUUGUCCACGUUUAUAUUUGGGAAUCAUAUUGACAGGUCAUGAAAAUGAGACCAAAAGAUCUCUGGAAGCGAUUAAUGAUAAAAUUUCAUGGAGAAGAAGGCCUUGACUACGGAGGGGUUGCCAGGGUGAUGACAACUCCGUGAGGGUGGAGAUUAUACAUCUCUCAUCAUUUCAGCAACAAGGAAAUAAAUUAGUGGCAGAGUAAGGGUGACUUGUGGGAUUAACUUUGUUUCAAUUCACAGAGAUCUCUUGGAAGCGAGGAUCCUUUAAAAAUCCUGGAAUAUACACUGCAGUAAAAGAACAAAGCAUACCUCAGCCUUAAACGACUGAAGAAGAAUGUCAAGUGGGGAAGUGGCUUUGGUUUUCAGUUUGUGGGUUCUGAAUCCACACAAAGACAGGAUUGCUUUCUGAAAACCUGAAUUAAUUAUUGUCCUUACCUCAAUAAGACAAAAAAUUAGAAUCAAAAUCGUUAGUAUUACAGUCACAGAUAUCGCCAAGAUGAGUUUGUUGUUAUAGCCAUAUCCUGGAACUUCUUUCGUGAGCUAAAAAAAAAAAAAAAAAAAAAGGAAAGAACAAUUAAAAAAAGAGUGAAAGCUAACUUUUCAAAACCCCAGUAUUCCAGUUGAGUAGCUUACAGGUUCUUUUUUGUUUGUUUGUUUUGAGACAGGGUCUCACUCUGUCACCCAGGCUGGAGUACAGUGGUGUGAUCACAGUUCACUGCAGACUCGACCUCCCUGGGCUCAGGUGAUCCUCCCACCUCAGCCUCUAGAGUAGCUGGAAUUAUAGGCACAAGUCACCACACCCAGCUAAUUUUUGUAUUUUUUGUGAAGAUAGGGUUUCACUAUAUUGGUCAAGCUGGUCUCAAACUCCUCUGACUUCAAGUGAUCUACCCACCUCGGCCUCCCAAAGUGUUGGGUUUACAGGCGUGAGCUACCAUGCCCGGCCUACAGUUCAUCCUGUGCACUAAUCUGUUUCACUCUCUAAAUGAACAAAGUGGGAGAUCACUGUCAUGGCCAAAGUUACAUGGCCAAGACAAACUAUGGCCUGGGAGUCCCAGGUUCUCCUGUGUGGGCACUUUCCUGGCAUAUGCUAAAUGAUGGGAAAGUCUGGGUCUCAUGUUUCUGUGUGGUCCUCACCUCACUCGACUUCUGCUCUUUCUGUUCACUCUGGGCUUCUGUGCUCUCAUUGAUACAGUUCUUAGUUUUCCACUGGUCCGUAUCCCGUUCUGCCUUGGACGCCUUUACUUCCUGCUGCUCACUGAGAAGCUUCAUCAGGAGGCCUGUCCUGGAGAUGAGCUUGGCACAGGUCACUUGCACAUAGGUCUCAGAGCAGUCCGUCUUCAAGGUCCAGAUAACAUGAGAAAUGAAGCUUCUCACAUCGUUGUUGGGGAUGACGGACUGUAGUUGAUGGGUUAGCGGAAUUUUAAACUGAUCACCUGGGGAUGAGAGCAAUGGGUAACUGAAGCUUUUGGGCUCGGGGGACAGGUCAGUGCCCACGUUGUUGUAUUCCCAUUUUGUCUCAGUUUGUUUAACAGUUGGCUCUAAGUUGAAUGCAGUCCUAGUGGGAAUCUGCCUCAGGAAGAUGAUUGUAGUUUGUGUUUUCAGAGAUGGUGCCUUCUGGCAUAGUAGUGUUUUCCAUAAAAACGUUUUCUUUAGAGGCAUUUCUUGCAGUUGUGUUUUUUACAGUAGUGUUUUCUAUAAAACGUUCUGAAGGAGCAAAUACUUCCGGAAAAGGGUUUUCUUGAGGACUCAGGUCUCCUGAGGAUGAAAAAGCCCCUUGUGAAGGGGAAUUUAUGAGGCUCUUCGCUGCAGAGAACGGCGGCCUCUUUGUGAGCAUCAGUCUAUUGAGAUAACUUUUCUUUCUCAAUUUUCUAAUCUUUUUGGCCUUGGGUGUUCUGUGGGCCACACGGGAGUGAGUUUUAUGAAAGUGGUAUUUUUUUUCUGGAAUGUACGACUCGUUUAGCAGCCUUCAUAUUUUUUAACUCCAGCCUUUGCAUUUUCUAAAAUUAAAAUGGUGUAGGCUAAGUCUUUCGAUCUGUCUAUGACCUGAGGUAGGGCUUUUGCAGUUGUGGAAGGCAGAAGGCAUGCCCAUGGAGAAGGGUUUCAGCAAAGAGGAGACUGUUAGCUUCUGCUCUUGGGUGAAUGAAGGCUUGGUGUAGAUGGCGUUUCCCGCUAUGUUCUCGGGCCCCUGCACUAUGUGAGGCUAUUCCAGCUCCCUUGGGGCUGGACUCCCGAGCCUUUUUUCUUUGGCAGCAUUCUCCCCAAAUGCUUGGGCACCCUGUUCCCUCCUGAUACUCUGCUUUCCCACCUCUUUGAAGGGCCUUUUCUGGAUGUUCCUUGGGCCCAUGAGGACUCUGUUCACUCUCUGCAGGUUUUUGCCUACUCUUUGAACCUUUGCCAGGCUGUUUUCCUGUGGUUGGACAGUUUCUAAUUUCUUUUCAAAUAUUUGGCAUUUAAAUUUGUUACCUAGAAGGCUGGACUGCAUAAGCAUGGCAGUUUUUUCUUCCCUUUUAACUUCAUCGAUUUUUUUCUUGUAUUUCUGCAUCUAACAUCUUUUCUAGCAAAUACGCCUUUCUCAAUUUAUUUUCAUAAGUUGAAUUGUUGGAUGCAG